GAUCAUGGCUCAGGAUGAACGCUGGCGGCAUGCCUAAUACAUGCAAGUCGAACGAAGUUUUUAGGAAAGCUUGCUUUCCAAAAAGACUUAGUGGCGAACGGGUGAGUAACACGUAGAUAACCUGCCCAUGUGCCGGGGAUAACUGCUGGAAACGGUAGCUAAAACCGGAUAGGUGGCUUCGAGGCAUCUCGGAGACAUUAAAAUGGCUACGGCCAUGAACAUGGAUGGAUCUGCGGCGCA
rnacentral:rRNA from 1 species